rnacentral:rRNA from 1 species
AGCGAACGCUGGCGGCAGGCCUAAUACAUGCAAGUCGAACGGAUCCUUCGGGAUUAGUGGCGGACGGGUGAGUAACACGUGGGAACGUGCCCUUUGGUUCGGAACAACUCAGGGAAACUUGAGCUAAUACCGGAUAAGCCCUUCGGGGAAGGAUUUAUCGCCAUUGGAGCGGCCCGCGUCUGAUUAGCUAGUUGGUGGGGUAAAGGCCUACCAAGGCGACGAUCAGUAGCUGGUCUGAGAGGAUGAUCAGCCACACUGGGACUGAGACACGGCCCAGACUCCUACGGGAGGCAGCAGUAGGGAAUCUUGCGCAAUGGGCGAAAGCCUGACGCAGCCAUGCCGCGUGAAUGAUGAAGGUCUUA